rnacentral:rRNA from 1 species
GACGCACCGUCCGAACGUUAUUCGGAAUCACUGGGCUUAAAGGGUGCGUAGGCGGCGCGGAAAGAUGGGUGUGAAAUCCCUCGGCUCAACCGAGGAACUGCGCCCAAAACUACCGUGCUCGAGGGAGAUAGAGGUGAGCGGAACUUAGGGUGGAGCGGUGAAAUGCGUUGAUAUCCUAAGGAACGCCGGUGGCGAAAGCGGCUCUCUGGAUCUCUUCUGACGCUGAGGCACGAAAGCAAGGGUAGCGAACGGG